rnacentral:rRNA from 1 species
CGUCGCCUACGGGGCGCAGCAGUGAGGAAUAUUGGUCAAUGGGCGGGAGCCUGAACCAGCCAAGCCGCGUGAGGGAAGAAGGUACAGCGUAUCGUAAACCUCUUUUGUCAGGGAACAAAGGCGGGGACUAGUCCCCGGAUGAGGGUACCUGAAGAAAAAGCAUCGGCUAACUCCGUGCCAGCAGCCGCGGUAAUACGGAGGAUGCGAGCGUUAUCCGGAUUUAUUGGGUUUAAAGGGUGCGCAGGCGGCCUGUUAAGUCAGCGGUAAAAGCCCGGGGCUCAACCCCGGCGAGCAGUGUAAACGGG